GAUGAAGAACGUAGCGAAAUGCGAUAAGUAAUGCGAAUUGCAGAAUUCAGUGAGUCAUCGAAUCUUUGAACGCACAUUGCGCCCUGUGGUAUUCCGCAGGGCAUGCCUGUUCGAGCGUCAUUUCAACCCUCAAGCUCUGCUUGGUGUUGGGCCCUGCCCGCUGCGGCCGGCCCUAAAGACAGUGGCGGUGCCGCCUGGCCCUGAGCGUAGUACAUCCCUCGCUCCAGUGCCCGGUGGUAGCCUGCCAGAACCCCAACUCUCGUGGUUGACCUCGGAUCAGGUAGGGAUACCCGCUGAACUUAAGCAUAUCAAUAAGCGGAGGA
rnacentral:misc_RNA from 1 species